AUUUUACAUAAGCAUGUACACUCACCACAGCAUCAUGGUGCCAGUAACCGAAGAUGCAAUUUGAUAACACUAAGGCAAAUAAUUUAACGUUUUAAAAUUAAAGUCUAAAAGCAAAAAGGAAAUGCGUGUGCGUAAGUUACAGGCAUGGAACAAAUUGCAAAACUCAAUGCGAUAAGUUCAUACAAUUUUACAUGGUAACAUGCUAGAUCAUAACCAUUUUACUAUUAGAAAAAAGUGUUUUCGACGGUAAUUGACAACGUGUUUGUAUAUAUUUUGAAUUUUCAACAUGGCUUCUAGAUUGUAAAGUAAUAAAAUCAUACAAGCAAAACAUGGGAUUUUAACAAUAAUUAUAUUGUUAAAUCAAUAACAUUGAAGGAAGACACAAACCAACACUUAUAACAACAGUAAGCCACGAAGGUUUGUUGAGAAUUAGGUAAAAUUCUUAUUAUAAUUAUCUCCUGGGUGUUUCCUAAUCACCUCUCCAACUUUACAUGUAUCAUGAUCAUGUCCAUUUAUACCAUAAGACAAGCUUGACUACAUGCCAUAACUUUCAGUUAGAUCCUAGCCCAGGUGACCAAAGUAACCAAGGCUAAUAUCUGCAGUUGAACCAUUGCAAAAGGAACACAAUCUUACCCAAAAGUUACUAUUCAGUAGAUCCCAGGUAACCAACUUCCUUUUACAUUAGCCACCCCAUUUCCUUUUCUGGGAUGGGGUUGACAAGGCAAAAGCAAGACUUAAGAAACAGACAACUUUAAAAAGGAAAAUAUUGUGCGAACAAGCUCCUUAAAAUCUAGACUAAAUACCU
rnacentral:misc_RNA from 1 species